rnacentral:rRNA from 1 species
CCUACGGGAGACAGCAGUGAGGAAUAUUGGUCAAUGGGCUUACGCCUGAACCAGCCAAGUCGCGUGAGGGAAGACUGCCCUAUGGGUUGUAAACCUCUUUUGUCAGGGAGCAAUUGGCGCUACGUGUAGCGUUAUCGAGAGUACCUGAAGAAAAAGCAUCGGCUAACUCCGUGCCAGCAGCCGCGGUAAUCCGGAGGAGGCGAGGGUUAUCCGGAUUGAUUGGGUUUAAGGGGUGCGUAGGCGGAAUGCCAAGUCAGCGGUAAAAUCGCGGGGCUCAACCUCGCUCCGCCGUUGAAACUGGCGUUCUUGAGUGGGCGUGCAGUAGGCGGAAUGCGUGGUGUAGCGGUGAAAUGCAUAGAUAUCACGCAGAACUCCGAUUGCGAAGGCAGCAUACCGGCGCCCAACUGACGCUGAAGCACGAAAGCGUGGGUAUCGAACAGGAUUAGAUACCCGAGUAGUC